GACGAAAAAAAAUUGCAUAUUUAAAUGAAUUUAAAAAAAAUGUACCAUGGAGAAAUGUGUAGAUACUCCACCGAAAAUGGGCGGAAGAACAUUAUUGUUCUACAUUCCCAUGUUAGUUGAUUGUCCAUCGGAUGCAUUGAGGAGAAAUCGGGUUGCUAACAAGAUUUAUACAACUUUCGAGGAACAUCGAAAUAUUCGAAAUACAUCGGAUUUCUCAUUAGAUCGAUCGUCGUCAAGUCUAAUGAAAAGCACAUCGAUCAACGCUGAAACCAAAAU